rnacentral:tRNA from 1 species
GGAGGGUGACUCAGACGGUUACGAGGACGGUUUGCUAAACCGUGACCCGAAAGGGUCUAAUGGGUUCGACUCCCAUACCCUCCG